rnacentral:rRNA from 1 species
UACGUAGGGGGCAAGCGUUGUCCGGAUUUAUUGGGCGUAAAGCGCGUGUAGGCGGCCAGAUAGGUCUGCUGUGAAAACUCGAGGCUACUACCGUCAGCUGUCGGCGGAAACCAUCUGGCUAGAGUCCGGAAGAGGAGAGUGGAAUUCCUGGUGUAGCGGUGAAAUGCGCAGAUAUCGGGAGGAACACCGGUGGCGAAGGCGGUUCUCUGGGCCUUACCUGACGCUGAGGAGCGAAAGCGUGGGGAGCGAACAGG